UCCCUCUGUGGCCCAGGCUGCAGUGCAGUGGCAGAAUCAUGGCUCACGGUAACUCAAAUUCCUGGGCUCAAGUGAUCCUCCUACCUCAGCCUCCCUAGUAGCUGGGUCUACAAGCACAAGCCACCACACCCAGCUAAUUUUUAAAAAUAUUUUGUAGACACAGGGUCUUGCUGUGUUGCCAAGGGUGGCCUCAAAGCAUCCUCUUGAGCCCAGGCUCAGUCUCCCAAAGUUCUGGGAUUACGGUUGUGCUUUCCUGUACCCGGUUGUGAGGAAGUCCUCUCUACUACUACUAGGAGAGCCACAUCUCUCGAAGGUACCUUUGCUGUGGGGAGUUUGCAUGUCAUCUGGGAACCUACAACACUAGAUUGAUACUACUUAGGGAGUUAGUCUUGGAUCCCGCCAGCUACAGCCAUUUUGAAGCGACUGUCAGGUACGGGAACUUGGGCAAGCCCCAGCUGUAGCCUACUCAGCCUUGCCCAGGGUCUCCUGCCAUACCCAGACACCUGGCCCCAUGUCUGAUGACAAGACAACUAAAAGAUCCCUUAGAGGCAACCUACUCUACAUUGUCCACAUGCAGAAGCCAAGUCCCCAACAAGGGGAUGUGAUCAGUAGCCUGUCAUUUGGCAUCAUAGCCAUCUUCUAUCCUGGGUCCCCCUGUGAUCAGGGGCCUUUGUUCUCCAUUGCAGCCCAGAGGGUCUUGCCUCACCUCUGCUUAGGGCACCCUGUGGGUGCAACAUAAUGAGGGUCAGCCUUUGCCCUCCCCUCUCCUCUGUUGGGGAUGCUGGGUCCCUGCAGCCAUGCACUAACUUGGAACAUAAAACUGAUAAUCCUGAGAGUCAAGAGACCUCAAUUCAAAUCGUGCCUCUAAACUUGGGCUGCAAGUUCCUCACCCUUCCUGGCUUUAGACCCCAGAUGUGCAGUGAGGCUGACAAUCAAACGUCCACAGGGUUUGCAGUGAAAGACGGGAAGAGUGUGAGAUGGGUCCACUGCCUGGGACCCAGCCAGGAGCCUGUCCUCUGUCUGGACCCACCGUAGCCUCUGGGCCUUUUGACUCAGAGCUGGAGAAAGGUUUGGAGGUGAACAAGCUCGCAUGGGGCUGUAAGGUGUCCUGGGAGAUGAGUGACAAGGACCAUAUGCUUCCAUUGACCCAGGAAAAAGACUACAGUAUAGGGUCAUGAUAAAGAUCUGGCUUCCAAUCCACUUUUGCUGUGUUCGAGCUUUGUGACCCUGAUUAAAUUAACCUCUGUCAUCUUCUGUCUCUUUGUCUUUAAACAGGGACAGGGUUGCCUACUUAUAAGGGGUGUGUCAAAGAGUAGAUUAAAUCAAGUAGGAAAAGUCCUUGCCCCAGUGCUGGCUCAGUUAAAAAAAAAAAAAAUGGUGGCGUUUCAUGCCAUCUGGGUAAGUCCUGGUUUAACCAGUUGGAAGGCCAGCUCAUCUAGCUUGUUCAUUCAGUCUCCUGGGUGUGGCCACUGUCUUGGAGGCAUUUCCCCUCUGUGGACUUGCUCACCAUGGAUUUCAGUAUUCUGAAUGUUCUGCAGCUGUGUCUUCAGUAGAUUUUCUUGGAGACCUUUGUGGA
rnacentral:lncRNA from 1 species